rnacentral:rRNA from 1 species
GCCCUUCCUACGGGAGGCAGCAGUAGGGAAUCUUCCGCAAUGGGCGAAAGCCUGACGGAGCAACGCCGCGUGAGUGAUGAAGGUCUUAGGAUCGUAAAACUCUGUUGUUAGGGAAGAACAAAUUUGUUAGUAACUGAACAAGUCUUGACGGUACCUAACCAGAAAGCCACGGCUAACUACGUGCCAGCAGCCGCGGUAAUACGUAGGUGGCAAGCGUUAUCCGGAAUUAUUGGGCGUAAAGCGCGCGUAGGCGGUUUCUUAAGUCUGAUGUGAAAGCCCACGGCUCAACCGUGGAGGGUCAUUGGAAACUGGGGAACUUGAGUGCAGAAGAGGAGAGUGGAAUUCCAUGUGUAGCGGUGAAAUGCGCAGAGAUAUGGAGGAACACCAGUGGCGAAGGCGGCUCUCUGGUCUGUAACUGACGCUGAUGUGCGAAAGCGUGGGGAUCAAACAGGAUUAGAUACCCUGGUAGUCCACGCCGUAAACGAUGAGUGCUAAGUGUUAGGGGGUUUCCGCCCCUUAGUGCUGCAGCUAACGCAUUAAGCACUCCGCCUGGGGAGUACGACCGCAAGGUUAAACUCAAAGGAAUUGACGGAAGGGC